CUGCCAGACUCCUACGGGAGGCAGCAGUGAGGAAUAUUGGUCAAUGGGCGCGAGCCUGAACCAGCCAAGUCGCGUGAGGGAUGACGGCCCUACGGGUUGUAAACCUCUUUUGUCAGGGAGCAAAGGGCGCCACGUGUGGCGUUUUGCGAGUACCUGAAGAAAAAGCAUCGGCUAACUCCGUGCCAGCAGCCGCGGUAAUACGGAGGAUGCGAGCGUUAUCCGGAUUUAUUGGGUUUAAAGGGUGCGCAGGCGGAAUGUCAGGUCAGCGGUAAAAUUUCGGGGCUCAACCCCGUCGUGCCGUUGAAACUGGCGUUCUUGAGUGGGCGAGAAGUAUGCGGAAUGCGUGGUGUAGCGGUGAAAUGCAUAGAUAUCACGCAGAACUCCGAUUGCGAAGGCAGCGUACCGGCGCCCAACUGACGCUCAUGCACGAAAGCGUGGGUAUCGAACAGGAUUAGAUACCCCGGUAAC
rnacentral:rRNA from 1 species